GGCCUGGUGGUGUAGCGGUAACACGUCUUUGCGGUUUGACAUCUUCCUCAAUGUAUUGUGCGGAAGUCCCUUGUUCGAAUCAAGGCCAGGCCA